rnacentral:lncRNA from 1 species
AUUAGUGUUUCGGAUGAUCUUUAUCCGUCUUAUUCGCUGAGGUAUUUUCAGCACCUGGAACAGUGCCUGGAACAGAGAAGGUGCUCAACACAUAUUCACCGAAUGAAAGAAAGAAUCCAUUUCUGUAUCCUACACACUCCCUAAAGUCCUUGUCACUUGGCUGACUUUAUACAGGUGAUGGGUGCGUGAACCUAAGGUGAAAAAGCAAAGGAGGUUUGGAUCUUUCAGCAGAGCUGGAGGGGAAUAUAAAUUAGGAAGUUGGAAAAGUAGGGGAGAAUCCAUAUGGCUGUGGGGAGGGCCUGGGAAGGCUGUGGGUCAUGUGCAGACCCCGAGAAGGUGCCUGAGCUAGGAGACAGAUGGGAGAGGGCCAGAGGGUUGUCUCACGUGCCCUUGAAGUUGACUGCUCAUCAAGACUUUGCCCUUGCUUUGUUUCUUCAAGGCUGAGGUCAUGAUCCUAAGAUAAGGGGUUUCCUCUCUCUCCUCUGCUACUUCUGCUUCAUCUCUUCCCUCCUCUUUCCCCACCUCCUAAUCCUUUUUAAUUACUCGUUUCAGUCCUGGGGAGUAAGACUAGGCUUUGCAAAGGACCUGUUUUUCUAAGCUCUGUCUUACCUGUUCACGUCUUUCACUGGCCUCCAUGGAACUGAAACCAAGACUCCUUUCAGGGACUAGAAACUGAUUUUCAAAAAGGGAGCAAUGUCGGCAUAACUAAAACCCCUUUCUGAUUUCUGUGUGAUUAGGGCUCCAGAGGUAAUUAGCAUUCAUGUAUUCCCACCCCCACCCCCACCCCCUGGCAACUGGAAUUUGUCACUCUGUUUAGCGUUUGGAGUACGUGUGAGUUCCAAGUUCAGGAUCAGAAAGGAUUGCAUCUUCCCGUUAGUGGAUGAGGCUUAAAGGUAGCUUCUCAUCCUCAAAAGACCCCUCUGCCUUUCUCUCCGAUCACGAGGAGGCACACUUAGUGGAAACAUCAUGCAGAUGUAUUUAUGAAUGACUGGAUUUCUUUCGCUGGAGAAGACGGAAAUGCAAAGAUCAUUUGCCUCUCUGCCUUCCCCAGCUCUCUGUGCACAGAGUGAAGGCUGCUCUAUGUUCAGCUGGGGGUUGGUUGGUGCGCGAGAGCGCCGAGAGUCCCAGGAGAGAAAAGUCAUUGCUGGGGUAAUAGGUUGGACAGGGGAAAGAAUUUACGAAAGGAGAAGGGAGACCUGUGUCCAGCCAGCCCACUCACCACCCUGUGCAGCAGCUCCAGGGCUUCCACCCUCCUCUGUAGACAUCUAAGUCACUAAGGGGUUUGCUCCUCCUCCGGGCACCUCACUGGCUGUGGCUGCUCCCUGCCUGAAUGCGAUGUGCCUGUAUUAUUCUGUAUGUUUCUGGCCUUUGAGACUGAGCCCCAUGUGGAAGAGCCCAGCUCUGUGGAAGAAAAGGCAGUGAAUGGGGAAAGCCAGGGUGGGUCCUUGGCCGGAACCGAACCAUCCAUUCCCCCGAGAUGGCACUCUCUCGCUUUCCUUCCAAGAAUCAGAUUCUCUCACUGAAGAGAUGAGCCCGACUCUCUGAAACUCAGGACAUGGUCUGUGGCUAUGGAGCUGAUUGGCCUGCACGGCCUUGGGUUUCCUUGGGAGCAGUCCUCUGUGGCCCAACCCUGGGUAUGACCUAAAGAGGGAAAUGAGAGCUUUGGAGCCAGAAGUCCAGGCGUGAAGAGAAGCAGCCCUGCAGGCUUGUGUUUAAUGACCUCCGUUUCCCCUCAUUAAUCGUGUCCCAUCACAUCUGGAGCCUCUGGCUCCAGAGCCCUAGUUCAUAAAACGGGAGGUACCUUCACAUACACAUGGACGGGCUCGGUCUGCAGCCCUGGGCCGGCCUUACCCUUGGCGUCUUUCCUUGGUUCUGUUUUGCCAAGAGAAGGGCCUUCCUCUGUGCCCUGGGCGUCUCCUGCCGCCUUGGCUUUGUUGACAGUGGUCUGGGCCCCUGCCCCCUUCUUCAGCAUCUGGCCGUCAGGCGAGGGCUGGUCUUCGGGCGGAUCUUCUUCCUCCUCUCUCGGGAAACUCUAAACAGGAGAAAACCCACCGUCAGGUGUCAUGUUCCGAGUGACUCAACAGCCCCUAAAUGAGUGGCUGACGUGUGGUCAUUAGAGGAAGGAGCUGGACCGGAACUCUUAACGUUGUGAAAAAUUACAUAAUCCAGAAAAUAAAUGGAUGCUGUCGGCUUAUUCUCAUAGACAGUAGUAAUGAGAGAAGGGCCAAAGUUAUCUCUGAAGCAAUAGAAUACUCAGAGAAGAAGUAUAUUUGUAUGUGUAUAAAUAAAAGAAAUAUAGAAAUAAAAUUCAUAUGUAUAUGCAUGAAAGAAAAUGAAAGGUUCUUACAGGGAUGAAAUCCAGGAGGUUAGGGUACAUCCAAGAGCCAGUAUUUCAUUUUUACAGGGUAGGAUUAAUCUACCGCACAUCAAGCUGUGCUUUCUGUUUCUCCCCCCACCCCACCCCACCCCUGCCCCAUUUCUCAUCACAUCAAUUAAAAAGAAAGCAUUUUCAAGUGUCAAUGAAAAAGAAAGCAUUUUCAAGGAGUACGAAACACCGUUCUUCAGUGACUCCCAAACACCCAAGUCAUCCCUCCUGGCAAGACCCACAAGGUCCUUCCCGAUCCAGCCCUGCUCACUUCAUCCUCUCUUCCCCUCCCUCUCCCCCGGGUGCUGUUCCACCUGCAGAACCGUCCCAGGGCCCUCAGGCUUCUGCGACUUGGCGUGUUUCUCACUCUGCUUGGAAUGUGACACAUCCCCUCUUUCUCUCUUUUGCGCUCCCCUACUCCUGGGGAAGGCCUCCUGUCACUCCCUCUACAGCGUGGUCUGAGAUGCCUCCCAACUCCCAGCCUUCGAUGGAGACCUGCCCCCACUCUGGUCCCCAGCGCCUUUCAAGUGUCUCCAUUCUACUCUUGAGCAAUUGUGCAGUAAAGUGUCCGCCUUCAUGCCUAUUUCCACCAUCAGAUGUUAUGUUCCAUGAGGUCCUUGACUCUAUCGUAUUGACUAGUGUAUCCCCGCAUGUAACACAGUACCCGGCCAGAGACUGAUGCUCAAUUCAUAUUGAUGAAUGGAUGGGUAAAUGGAUGGUAGAUGAAAAAGUCUUGGGUAAAGGUAGAGGGGAAUAAAAGACAGUAGAUUAAAAACAUUAACGUAGUGGAAGGGAGAACUGGGGGACAUGUGUGAUCAACCCCAGAUCCACGGGGUAAACAGAGUCGGAAGGAGCCGCUUCUGUACCAACGAUGGAUGCAUCUGGGAUUCAUCAAGAAUGUCCUGUGGCACAAAAGGCUCAGAAAACAGGCAUUUUUGGAUUCGCCCAUCUGAAGAAGCACUAAGUGAUAACAUUGAGUUUAAGUUCUUCCCUGAAAGCCAGAGAAAUUUAAUCUGAAACCCAGAAUUCUGGAAGGGAUAAUUAAAUGAAAAUGAUUAAGAAUUUAGAAAAAACUGUGUCCCUACCAGGGCCCUGGGUUAACACCAGGUAUUGAACUGCUUCUCCUCCCUGAGGCCAGACAGGAACUUGGAAUUUUCUCCAUAGUGUACUUUUUUUUUUUUUUUUUAAGGCAUGGUUUUUCUCGUAUGAGUUUAAACUUGGUGUCUGAAGUUGUGGUUUCUGAAACCUCUGUUCAUUUCUGGUGAUUCUCUUGCUCCUCUCAAAAGAUCCAACUGAAGCAGUGUGUGUGUGCUACGCAGUUGUGCGUAGCUAGGCGGUUUGCUAAAGAAAAACAAAAUUCUUGUGCUCCGAGGAACAUCUGCUCUGAGUCGGAUCACGAGAAACCUCCAACUUUCCCAGCAAGUUGUAACACUGGAACCGAUCACCCGAAGGCAUAUUUUGGCACAUUAAGGAAAUCUACACUCAAUAAAUAUGCUAUUU